AUUGAACGCUGGCGGCGUGCUUAACACAUGCAAGUCGAUCGGUAACAGGUGUAGCAAUACAUGCUGACGAGAGGCGGACGGGUGAGUAAUGCUUGGGAAUCUGCCUAUUAGUGGGGGACAACCCGGGGAAACUCGGGCUAAUACCGCAUACGCUCUACGGAGGAAAGCCGGGACCGCAAGGCCUGGCGCUAAUAGAUGAGCCCAAGUCGGAUUAGCUAGUUGGUAGGGAACGGCCUACCAAGGCGACAAUCCGUAGCUGGUCUGAGAGGACGACCAGCCACACCGGAACUGAGACACGGUCCGGACUCCUACGGGAGGCAGCAGUGGGGAAUAUUGGACAAUGGGGCAACCCUGAUCCAGCGACGCCGCGUGGGUGAAGAAGGCCUGCGGGUUUGUAAAGCCCUUUCGGGUAGGGGAAGAAAAGUCUCGACCUAAUACGUCGGGACCUUGACGUAA
rnacentral:rRNA from 1 species